rnacentral:rRNA from 1 species
GAUGAACGCUGGCGGCGUGCCUAAUACAUGCAAGUCGAGCGAACGGACGAGAAGCUUGCUUCUCUGAUGUUAGCGGCGGACGGGUGAGUAACACGUGGAUAACCUACCUAUAAGACUGGGAUAACUUCGGGAAACCGGAGCUAAUACCGGAUAAUAUUUUGAACCGCAUGGUUCAAAAGUAAAAGACGUUUUUGCUUUACUUAUUAGAUGGACCCCCGCUGCAUUAGCUAGUUGGGAAGGUAACGGCUUACCAAGGCAACGAUGAGUAGCCGACCUGAGAGGGUGAUCGGCCACACUGGAACUGAGACACGGUCCAGACUCCUACGGGAGGCAGCAGUAGGGAAUCUUCCGCAAUGGGCGAAAGCCUGACGGAGCAACGCCGCGUGAGUGAUGAAGGUCUUCGGAUCGUAAAACUCUGUUAUUAGGGAAGAACAUAUGUGUAAGUAACUGUGCACAUCUUGACGGUACCUAAUCAGAAAGCCACGGCUAACUACGUG